rnacentral:rRNA from 1 species
UACGUAGGGUGCAAGCGUUGUCCGGAAUUAUUGGGCGUAAAGAGCUCGUAGGCGGUCUGUCGCGUCGAAUGUGAAAACCCGGGGCUCAACCCCAGGCUGCAGUCGAUACGGGCAGCUAGAGUUCGGUAGGGGAGCUGGAAUUCCUGGUGUAGCGGUGAAAUGCGCAGAUAUCAGGAGGAACACCGGUGCGGAAGGCGGGACUCUGGGCCGAUACUGACGCUGAGGAGCGAAAGCGUGGGGAGCGAACAGG